rnacentral:lncRNA from 1 species
CCUAAACCAAAACCACAAAAUCUCAUAAAACCCCUUUAUUCCAGUAGACAAAUCUAAACGUUACAAGACACACAAAAGAUUAAAACUUUACCUGAUCUGUUCAUAGAGGAGUCAACACACACACACACACACACAGAGACCAAGAGUUAGUAACCGAUAAACGAAAUGCAAUUGAACACUCAAACGGUGUUAAAAAGCUAAAUGCCUAAAACCAAACCUAAGAUCUUUCCAAUACUAGUGCAUUGUGGCCAAGCUGUUCUAGCAUCAAAAGCUUUAGGUAGCUUCAAAGAUGGAUCAUGGCUUACAACAGGAACACCUAAGAAAUGCUUCUUCGGUGUUGGUUUAACAC